rnacentral:rRNA from 1 species
UACGGGGGGGGCAAGCGUUGUUCGGAAUUACUGGGCGUAAAGGGUUUGUAGGUGGCUUGCUAAGUCAGACGUGAAAUCCCUCAGCUUAACUGAGGAACUGCGUCUGAGACUGGCAAGCUUGAGUGCAGGAGAGGAACGCGGAAUUCCAGGUGUAGCGGUGAAAUGCGUAGAUAUUCGCAAGAACACCAGUGGCGAAGGCGGCUCACUGGCCCGAUACUGACGCUGAGGUGCGAAAGCGUGGGGAGCAAACAGG